CCCCAGCACCAGAUACACAGGGUGCUGGGUGUUGGCUGUGCCAUGGGGCCAGGCUGGCCCUGCUCCUCCCCUUGUGCAAACAGGGUAAGGCAGAUAAAGGCACUGCCCAGCAAACGUUGCCAUGUCACAUGUGGCCAUGGCUCCGGUGUGUGCCAUAGGGGCCCGGCUGGCACAUGGCCCCUGUGCCGUGGCACGUGCCUACCACUGCCACAUGCUUCUGGGAUCUGCUGUUGGCCAAAUCCCGGUGUUCUGGUCCUCUCUGUGUCUUUGCUGACCAGGUCUCUCCUCCAUGCUCUAGAUACCGGCCAUGGCCAGGAUACAGGCUCAGGGACAGAAGUGCCACUGUCCCCAUCCACUUCAGUCACAGCCACCACCAUGGGGACACCCACUGUGUCUGCAUCUGGCUCUGACACGGGCACGGCCAAUGUGUCUACAACCAGCACAACAGCAGCGUCUACAACACCUCCCAUCCCAGGCACCACAGUGUCCCCAUCCAGCACUCUGGGCUCAACAGUGCUUAAGACAGCUUCUGAGGAUCCAGCUACAACAGCAGAUCCAGCAACACCUACACCUUCAUCCCCCCCAGCCACAGCAUCGUCUCCCUCUGGGAUAACGGGAUCACCUCUGACAAACCCACCCAACACAACCGUGGCGCCAUCCCCAUCCAGGACACCGACCUCGCUGGAAACAACACCUCCAUCCGGCACAACCACAGCACCGUCCCCAUCCCACCCGGCCGUGCCCAGCUCUGCAGCCCCAGGACACCCCCCCAGCUCCACAGUGGCACCGGCCCCAUCCUCACCCGGGUCCUCCAAGCCCCCUCCUGCUCCCAGCUCACCCACACUGAGCCCCAGUCCCACCAGCGCUGGAACAGCACCAGCCAUGGGCACCAGUGCCGUGGUUGGCAGCUCCGGUGAGAGCCAGGCCGGGGGGCACCGUGCAGGCAGGGAGCAUCCAGAUGUGUGCCCAUGGGCACAGCAGCAGCCCUGGGAGCCCCUAAACUCCCUGCUCACAGGAUGGGGCAGAGGGGCUCAGGGGUGCCGGUCCAGAGCCCCCUGUGCUGCCCCAUCCUCCUUGGACCCUAUCCCUAACCCUGGAGGUGAUGUGGGAGCAGGGUGCUGGAUCUGUGAAGGGUGGGACCAGUGCUGGUAGUGGGAGCUGGAGCCAGAUCUGAGCUCCUCUUGCCCCAAGAGCCCCUGUGGUGCUUGGGCACAAGGCUUGGCAAUGCUAUGGGGGGUAACGGGAUGCCCAUUUCCACCCCACAGCGCAGCCCCCCACCAAACCCAGCCCUGCCGUGGUCGCCGUCAUCUGCCUCUUCAUCUGCCUGCUGGUGGGGGGAGCAGCGGUGCUGCUGGUGCGGCUGUCCCGGCACAGGACCCCCCGUUUCCAACACUUGGAUGAGGUGCCCAUGAGCAACCCAGGUGACCCCCCCGCUGCUCAAUAAAGAAGCUGCUGCCUUGG